GGGGUAGUCAAGGUUUCGACAGGGAUUCUGAAGUUGGAGAAGCUAUCCGCAGACUCCGGCACUGCGUUAAAAGCUGGAAUUUAAAUUUAAACGCUGAAGAUAAUUUAGCAGUAGCUGCCUAAAUGCAGCUUGUCGGCCUUAGGGCACUCACACCUUAAGAUCCCGGCAUCGACUAUGUGAGAAACGACGUGCGGUAAGCUUUGCCCGCGCGGGCGUAUGAUGAAGCUACCGAUGGCAGAAGGCUGCUGACUUGCCGUCUGCCGGGGGGAAUCCGAAAGAAUCAGCUAUGAUAGUAGAAGGACAAGGGAUGGAUUUUUGGACACGGGUUCGACUCCCGUCUACUCCA
rnacentral:tmRNA from 1 species